AGGAAGACUUUUCCGACCUCUUUUGUGAGCGUUCGGAGGCGCCAGGAACACGGGCGGCCGCGUCUUUAUUGCAAAGGGCAAAACGUAAAGAGACACCUAUUUCACCGGCAGCCAGGCAAGAACCUCGACUCCCUCCCUAAGUAACUCUGAAGUUCACCCACGUACACCGUCCUCCUCACUAUCUCCCCGGGCGCUGCCGCACCGGCGGAGCACCGCAAAUCUGACGGCGUCGGCGGGGCUGGACGCAGGUCACUGGCUUAACAGAAUACCAGGAGGCUCUUUUAAGCUUCGGGAUUAAGAAAAAAGCUCCCGUCGGUCUCCAGAGUGCUGCCUCACGCCGCUUUACCGGCCACACCGCCGCCGGACCCUGCCCGUCACCUUCCCACUCGCGGGCGCCCCAUUCUCGGCAGAUGUCCCCAAGAAGGGCAACGAGGGUGCCCGGAGCCGACCCCACCCGCCUGGUACCCACCUGUAGGACACCUGCUUCCUGAAGGCGUCGAUGUGCUCAGAAUCAACGCUCCCAGCUCCAGAGAGGUGCCUUGUAAUGGGUGCUCCCGAGUAUAAUGCAUUGUCCUCCCCCUUCAUUCUCCACUUCUGCUCAUUCCGGGAAGACUAAGGAAUACUUUGCAGAGAGGCGUCAGCAUGGGGCUAUUUAAGCACACAAGCUUAAACUAACAAUAAGAUUAAAAAGUACAGCAAACGUUGUAAAAUCUUGGACAUCAGUCACCUUUAGGACUGCCGAGAUAUUCUUUACACCCGAUUCCUUCAACCCUCUUUAACGAUUCUGAUUCUCCACACUCAAAACAGACUGUGUACACAUCUUUCACCUCAGCCUCAACAUGACAGGCUCUCCAAGACAAACAGUUGAUGUUUUCCUGUCCCUGAUUGGCAGUGGCAAAGAAUGAGAAGCGCAUCAUUGUACCACACCUUUUACAAGUUUCACCAGCUUUCAAAAAUACAUUCUGCCCCCAAGCAUAAGCAAUGUGUGUGUUAUCUACAGGCACAAAUGCUUCCCCCAACACGUAUUGACCUUUUUGUCCUCCAAAUCUCAGAAUUACUUAGCAAGCACAUUAAAAAAAGGCAUAAUUAAGCAAUGUAAUACAUGGCUUAUUUGAAGCAAAACCUAAGCUAUAACACAAAACUGGUAAAAGAAGGUCUGGAUCCUGAUAUGAGCUUUGUGCAGCAAGAUCUACAAACCAGCAUGAAGCUCUACUGAAGCCAGUGGUACCUUUCCCAUGGAGAGAGAGGACUUCAGUGGGAAGUCCCCUGGUGAAGUAUUUUUUUCAGAAAGAAACAAAAUCAUUUUGAGAUGGAACUGUCAAAGACUAGUUUAGACCUAACCCAAGAGCCAGCUUCAAGGAUGAGGAGUAGUGCCACAAGCUCCUCUCUCAUCAAUAGUAUCUUAGAGGUUUGGGUGGUGGUGAAAAACCUAUGUUCUGCUGCUGUGACAAGAUGUCAAUGGCAUCUGCAAAAAAAUACUUUAACUGCAAAUUAAUCUUGCACUUGGAGAGCAGAACAGUAUGCAUCAUCUCACAGCUUUAUUCUUUUAGCCUUUAGUCUACAUGAGAACAGCUCUGUGGCCACUGCCCCAGCUAAUUGCUCCACCUCACCUAGAGCAUCUGGAGCAAAGCCUAAGAGCUAAUCAGAAUUUCCUACUCCCACCUCUAGCAAACAUCCACACCACUGAGCCACGUCUUCCUCCAGCAUAAA